CGUAAACAACCUGCCUUCAGGAUGGGGACAAUAGACGGAAACGACUGCUAAUACCGAAUAAGUUCCAAGAGCCGCAUGGCCCAUGGAAGAAAAGGUGGCCUCUACCUGUAAGCUAUCGCCUGAAGAGGGGUUUGCGUCUGAUUAGCUGGUUGGAGGGGUAACGGCCCACCAAGGCGACGAUCAGUAGCCGGUCUGAGAGGAUGAACGGCCACACUGGAACUGAGACACGGUCCAGACUCCUACGGGAGGCAGCAUG
rnacentral:rRNA from 1 species